rnacentral:rRNA from 1 species
AAUGAACGCUGGCGGCGUGCUUAACACAUGCAAGUCGCACGAGAACGCUUCAGCUUGCUGAGGCUAGUAAAGUGGCGCACGGGUGAGUAACGCGUGGGUAACCUACCUCUGAAUCGGGGAUAACCCGCCGAAAGGCGAGCUAAUACCGGAUGACAUCCUUCUGGCUUUGGUCGGGGGGAUCAAAGGUGGCCUCUCCAUGGAAGCUACUGUUUAGAGAUGGGCCCGCGUCCCAUUAGCUAGUUGGUAGGGUAAUGGCCUACCAAGGCGACGAUGGGUAGCUGGUCUGAGAGGAUGAUCAGCCACACUGGAACUGACACACGGUCCAGACUCCUACGGGAGGCUG